GACGAACGCUGGCGGCGUGCUUAACACAUGCAAGUCGAACGGAAAGGCCCCUUUGGGGGUACUCGAGUGGCGAACGGGUGAGUAACACGUGCGUAACCUGCCCUUGACUUCGGGAUAACUUCAGGAAACUGGGGCUAAUACCGGAUAGGAAUCCUUGCUGCAUGGUGGGGGUUGGAAAGCUUCGGCGGUUUUGGAUGGACUCGCGGCUUAUCAGCUUGUUGGUGGGGUAGUGGCUUACCAAGGCUUUGACGGGUAGCCGGCCUGAGAGGGCGACCGGCCACAUUGGGACUGAGAUACGGCCCAGACUCCUACGGGAGGCAGCAGUGGGGAAUAUUGCACAAUGGGCGGAAGCCUGAUGCAGCAACGCCGCGUGCGGGAUGACGGCCUUCGGGUUGUAAACCGCUUUCAGCAGGGGCGAAGCUUGUGGUGACGGUACCGGCAGAAGAAGCACCGGCUAACUACGU
rnacentral:rRNA from 1 species